CAAAUGCGCAGGUGUGCAAUCAAUAUUUAUAGACAUUUCAUAAAUGUAAAUUUCCCUAUUUUCCCCCUCAGAUUUAGUGCAUCUAUGAGAUGAUAUUACAGCUUCACUGCAUGGCUUCUUUACCAGGUUCUUCUCAUCCAACAAGCAAGCUCAUGUUCUAGAAGCCUGAGGCAGAGAAAAACUGAAUAUCACUUAGUGAUAACUAUCUUCUGAGCCCAAUCACUCUCUUUGAACAAAUUUGAAUUGGCUCCGUUUAAAUUGAGUUCCUGAUCUAGGAGAACAAAGAAAGUUAUUAUUCUUUCUCCCUUACAGUUUCUGGCACCCAACAUAGGACAGCUGAGACACUGCAGUCACACAUGUACCUGCAGAUGAGGUCUUGGGACAACAGACAAAAAGCUGGGAACGAGGUAAAAAUAUUUUACUAAUAUCAGCUCUCCUGGAUCUGUGCCUGGAGUGCCCAGUUGAGAGUGAAAGGUGAGAAGAUGUUUACAAAUACUAGAGAAGCCACCAGUUCCCAGCUGAAGUUGCAUUGCCUGGAGGACCUGAGAUGAGGAGAAAAAUGACUGAGCAAGGUGGAGCAAAGGAGAAGAAAGACAUUUGAAUGUACUGGAUUAAUAUAUUUGGCUUUAUAUUAUACAGAGUUAUAUAGAAUCAUGAAAUGUUUUAUGUCCUAUGUUUUGGAUUGAGAUAUACCUCACAUAAUGACUGGUAAAUCAAUGAUAGUGCUUCAUCAAAUUUCCCCUGUGCAAACAGGAGCGAAGAGAAGCUAUAGUGAGCUCCAAAAAGAAUGCUCCAAGGAAGAUAUCCAGGGACUUAUUAUACUUCACUUUAGAGCUGUGAUAGCAGCUUGCCUGAAUUGAGAUAUUUACCUUUUCAAUUCAGUCCUGGUGGCAUAGCAAUGUUUGCUGCUCCAUAUUCUGGAAAUAAUGUUGAUUGGGCUAAUGUGUAAUAUUUGCUAUGGCAACUUCGGCCAUCUCCUUGCUAUAUGUAUACAUGGAUUAUUUGGGACUAAACACACAAACCCGGUGAGGCAUUUUUAAAGGCUAAAUUAAAUUUAACUUGUUUUUAAAACAAAAGGUGACAUAAUUGUUAACCAGUUACUAUCAAAUUUUCUUUUUGUUUUCCCCACGCAUUUUUCUUUGAGGAUGAAGUUGUAGGGAGUGGUCCUGGUUUAAAUUUGGGUCCUUUAGCCUCCAGUCUAUCUUGCUAAAAAACUCAUUCCAGCAGGCUUCUUCACAUUCCCAUUGUCUCACAUCUAGAACUAGACAUUGCUUAGACGUAAACAUGCAAGUAUAGUCAUGCAUUGCUUAACAACAGGGAUAUGUUCCUAGAAGUGAAUCGUUAGGUGAUUUUGUCAUUAUGAAAAUAUCGUAGAGUGUCUCUAUACAAGGCUAUAUCAUAUACUCUACUACGCAUCUAGGUUGUAUGGUAUAGCCUCCUGUUUCUAGGCCACAAACAUGUACUGCAUAUUAUUGUACUGAAUACUGCAGGUAAUUGUAACACAAUGGUAAGUAUUGAUGUAGCUAAACAUAUCUAAACAUAGAAAAAAUAGUAAAAAUAUAAUAUAAAAUAUGGUAUGCCUGUAUAAGGCACUUAUCACGAAUGAAGUUUGCAGGAAUGGAAAUUGCUCUGGGUGAGUCAGUGAGUCCCAAGUGAAUGUGGAGGCCUGGGAUAUUACGGUACACUACUGAUGACUUUAUAAACACUGUACACUUA
rnacentral:lncRNA from 10 species